rnacentral:rRNA from 1 species
AUGACGGAUAAUGGUGACUGGAAUGAGGAAGUUAUUGAGAGGACCUUCAUUGACCCGGAUGUACAGGCAAUCCUUAAUAUGCCAAGGCCACGAGUGGUUGUACCUGAUUUUUGGGCAUGGGGCUAUGAGAGGUCCGGGAUUUUCACGGUUCGAUCUGCGUACAAGAUGCUGUUGGAGUCCUGCAAAGACAUUUUGAACCAGGUUGGCAGUUCCUCCCAAGGGGAGGAGGUGUGGAAAUCACUAUGGCAUUUGAAGGUACAACCGAAGAUAAGAAUUUUCUGGUGGCGGGUCCUUGAAGGAUUCAUGCCGGCGAAGGAGGAGUUGUGCCGAAGACAUGUAGGGGAAGAUCUUACAUGCCCAAUGUGUGGCAACAAGGAGGAGUCGAUGUUUCAUUCUCUGGUGACAUGCGAUCACGCGAAGUUAUUCUGGAGAGAGGCAGAAGAUUUCUUCGAGUUUAAGGUGCCACGGCUACACCCAGCCACGUGGUCAAGGGAUUUGCUUGAUCCCAGCUUCAUUGGGAAGGACCGGGCGACCAUCAUUAUCUUAGUCAUGUGGACAAUCUGGUCAAGUAGGAACAAAUACACUCAUGAGGAGAUAAAAUAUCAGCCCGGGAGGUCGAUGGUUCUAGUGAAGGAACUCAUCCAAGCGAUGUACAUCCCUUCCGAUGCUGUUGAUGGGAGGAGUCCCGCAAAGGAAAAAUGGAAGCCAUCGAAAGAAGGAUGGUGUAAGAUCAACACGGACGUUGCAGUGGACGUGAAUGGGGUAUCAUCAGCGAUCAGUUUGGUGGCUCGGGACCAUGGCGGAGAGCUUAUGUUAGCUAGGGGCCGCAAGCAGUCGGGGGUGACGGACCCGUAA